GUUUCAAUUCCUCAUAGGCAGGCUAUCGGCAGGUCUAUGGCCCGGUACAAGCGGCCCGUAUGAGAACAG
rnacentral:sRNA from 1 species